rnacentral:rRNA from 1 species
GACGAACGCUGGCGGCGUGCUUAACACAUGCAAGUCGAGCGGUAAGGCCCUUUCGGGGGUACACGAGCGGCGAACGGGUGAGUAACACGUGGGUGACCUGCCCUCAGCUCUGGGAUAAGCCUGGGAAACCGGGUCUAAUACCGGAUAUGACUCCAUGACGCAUGUUGUGGGGUGGAAAGCCUUGUGCGGCUGAGGAUGGGCCCGCGGCCUAUCAGCUUGUUGGUGGGGUGAUGGCCUACAAGGCGACGACGGGUAGCCGGCCUGAGAGGGCGACCGGCCACACUGGGACUGAGACACGGCCCAGACUCCUACGGGAGGCAGCAGGUGGGGAAUCUUGCGCAAUGGGCGAAAGCCUGACGCAGCGACGCCGCGUGAGGGAUGACGG